UACGAAGGGUGCAAACGUUGCUCGGAAUUAUUGGGCGUAAAGCGCACGUAGGCGGCUUUGCAAGUCCCAUGUGAAAUCCCACGGCUCAACCGUGGAAGUGCAUGGGAAACUGCAGAGCUUGAGUACUUAAGAGGAUCGCGGAAUUCCCGGUGUAGAGGUGAAAUGCGCAGAUAUCGGGAAGAACACCCGUGGCGAAGGCGGUUCUCUGGGACGGUACUGACGCUGAGACGCGAAAGCGUGGGGAGCAAACAGG
rnacentral:rRNA from 1 species